rnacentral:rRNA from 1 species
AUUGAACGCUGGCGGCAGGCCUAACACAUGCAAGUCGAGCGGAUGAAGGGAGCUUGCUCCUGGAUUCAGCGACGGACGGGUGAGUAAUGCCUAGGAAUCUGCCUGGUAGUGGGGGAUAACGUCCGGAAACGGGCGCUAAUACCGCAUACGUCCUGAGGGAGAAAGUGGGGGAUCUUCGGACCUCACGCUAUCAGAUGAGCCUAGGUCGGAUUAGCUAGUUGGUGGGGUAAAGGCCUACCAAGGCGACGAUCCGUAACUGGUCUGAGAGGAUGAUCAGUCACACUGGAACUGAGACACGGUCCAGACUCCUACGGGAGGCAGCAGUGGGGAAUAUUGGACAAUGGGCGAAAGCCUGAUCCAGCCAUGCCGCGUGUGUGAAGAAGGUCUUCGGAUUGUAAAGCACUUUAAGUUGGGAGGAAGGGCAGUAAGUUAAUACCUUGUUGUUUUGACGUUACCAACAGAAUAAGCACCGGCUAACUUCGUG